GAUGAACGCUGGCGGCGUGCCUAAUACAUGCAAGUCGAGCGAACAGACGAGGCGCUUGCUCCUCUGACGGUAGCGGCGGGCAGGUGAGUAACACAUGGAUAACCUACCUGUAAAACUGAGAUAACUUCGGGAAACCGGAGCUAAUACCGUAUAAUAUAUUGCACCGCAUGGUUCAAUAGUGAAAGACGGUUUUGCUAUCACUUAUGGAUGGAUCCGCGUCGCAUUAGCGAGGUGGUAAGGUAACGGCUUACCAAGGUAACGAUGCGUAGCAGUCCUGAGAGCGUGGUUGGGUAGCCGGGAUGUGAGAAAGGGCCGCGACUCUUAAGCUAGGCAGCAGUAGGGACUCUUACGCAAUGGGCGAAAGAGGGAUGGAGCAAAGUGGGGGGAGUGAUGAAGGUCCUCGGAUCGGAAAACGAUGUUAGCCGGGAAGAAGAAAUGUGCAUGUAACUAUGCAGGUUUUGACGGUACCUAAUCAGAAAGCCACGGCUAACUACGUG
rnacentral:rRNA from 1 species